UCCAAACUUCCACUAGUUUUGCAAGGUCAUAGCGCCAUCAUAUUAAAGUUGAUUAUAUGAUCUGUUAAGAUUUUUUAUUUAUUUUUUUAUAAGUCCAUUAAAUAAGUUAUAUUCAACAAAAUCCUUCAUCUUUUCUGAUUACAAAUGAGACCUGUAAAUCUAAUAUAAUUAUAAGGAAAUAGAAAUCUAAACAAAGAUGUACAAAUAGUCCAAUUGAUGAUAAUCAAACUCGAAUUCUAUUGAUUCAUAGGCGAUGGCAUAUGUAACACACUGAGCCCCAUUUCACUAGAAUUCUUAAAUUUAAUUACAGGAUGGUCGAGUAAAUUAUUUAAACUGUAGUUGAUUAUAUUACUAUUUAAGGUAAAUUUUUAUGCGAAUCAAAUCUAUGAAUUUUUCAAAUGUAUUGCUCUAGUUAAAAGUGACUGAGUGUCUAGUAUUCUCUUAUAAAGAGCACUAGAGGGGAAAGAAAAAGCUCACGCGGCUGUAGCAGGUGAGGUUAGAAAAGUGCAAACAACCUAGGGCUCCAAGAAGCCGAAAUCACGCCAUUUAGCAAGCCUCAACGCCAUUCCUCGGCAAAUGCUCAAGAUCCUCAUAAGAGCCAAGCAUAGAGCAUAUUAGGCCAGUUCCUGAUAUUGAAGAACUACUUAAGAUCUUAAAUUAGCCAUGAACGAGAAAGCUUAGAAGAUCAUUGAGAGAGAAAUGUAUUGGAGAUGUUUCUUCUCUUGCCUUCGAUUGAUCCAUUAAAAUGGAGGAGCUACCUUUAUAUAGGCAAAGCUCAAAGGAACAAGACAAUUUGAUAUUUUCAAUUGGCAGACAAAUGUGGCUAACAUUUAUAGCCCGUUAUUA